rnacentral:rRNA from 1 species
CAGCCGUAAACUAUGCGCGUUAGGUGUAUCGGUGACCACGAGUUACCGAGGUGCCGAAGGGAAACCGUGAAACGUGCCGCCUGGGAAGUACGGUCGCAAGGCUGGAACUUAAAGGAAUUGGCGGGGGAGCACCACAACGGGUGGAGCCUGCGGUUUAAUUGGACUCAACGCCGGAAAUCUCACCGGAUAGGACAGACAUAUGAUAGUCGGGCUGAAGACUCUACUUGAUGAUCUGAGAGGUGGUGCAUGGCGUCAGUGACU